rnacentral:lncRNA from 1 species
AUCCCACCUCUGGGAGGCCUUGAGCAAGUCACUGGAGCACCCCCAGAACCUGCCUUGGCUCCACUGCCGUAGGACAGGGGUCUCUCUGCUCCCAGUGCAGAACCCCUCCCGGGACCAGGCAUAAGACUGACUGGAACACAGUGGCAUCAUUUGACACAGCCUGGGAUCCAAGUGGCUCUCAAGAGUGGAGCUACCUGGAAUGCUUUUGACAGCCAGUUGCAGCUUUAUUUGCAGCCUAGGCAUCCACACCAUUUGUAGUGCCUCAAAACAAUGUAAUGUGGGAUUAUGGGCUUUAGCCCUUGAGUAUGCUGGGGGCCCAGGUACCCAGAAUCUUCCUAACACGCACACUUCUGAAUUGCAAAGCCACUGUGUCCUCAGUGGUGCAGGUAGGAGUCGUGGACCUGAACAGGGUACUUUUCACAUCAGGACCUAUCACUUGCACCCCCACCCCAUGUACUGGCAUGGGCGGCUUUGCCAACAGGCUCUCUUGUCAGGGGGAGAGAACCUUCUGUCUCAUCAGGCCAGCCUCAGCCAACAUCUGUGUGAGUGCUGGUGGUCUGCCUCUAACCACAGCGAGAUGUUCUUUGCCCACCAGGUCGACAAAUGCUACAAGUGCAUCAUCAAGCAGGGCCAGAGCCUCUUCAUUCCCUCAGGCACUGACAGAACUCUCAUGGGCCCCAAGGUGUGCAGCCACCCAGGGGCAAUUGUCGCCUGGUCCACCUCAGCUAUACAGGGCCCUGUGGGGAAGCCUGAACUGGCGUGCCUGGGACCUGGAUCCACCCCCAGCAUUACCUGCUUGAUGGUCAGUGCACUGAAAGCGGCUAUUUGGUGGCUUCCAGAGCAUAUGAAGUGUAAAGGAUG